AAGCGGGGGUCGCAAGGCACCCUGGGUAAGAGCAGCUCUGACGAUCGAGUGGCGUCACGCUCCCCAACAAGUCCAGGAGGCGCACGCGUGCAAAGGGUUCUGGGAGGCGUAGUUUCCCCACGAGGGGACGUGGGUCGCCGCGGGGAAUUCUGGGGAGUCUGGAAGCGCCUCCAUUUUAUAACGUUCGGGGAAAAUGUGAGGGGAAUUGCGGCGCUCUCAUUAAGAGAAGCAGAAGCCGGAUUAUUUUUCCUCAGGAAAUAUUUCUGACGGGAUUAGGCUUGUCCUUUUUUAAAAAAAUACUAUGGCAUUUUGUAUUUUAACCAUUCUUUGAAUAAGCUAAAAUUUACCUCAAAAAAAAAAAAAAAAAAAAAAAAAAGGAAUAUGUCGGACAGGAAACUCAUUUAAACGUAUUGCCCACAACUGUCAUGAGAAAUUGAAAUACAAAAGGAAAAGAGAGACAUAAAAAUACAAAUAGCUGCCUUGGGUUAUUAGUAAAAGUAAUAAAGGCUGGAUAGAAACAAAGACAAAUAGAUAAAUGAAAGCAAGGUCAAGACACAACAUCCCGUGCUCAUCUCGUGAGGUAAGUAGGCUGAGAGACUAUGAUUGAUCACCCGCUUUGAAUGAGGAACUUGAACCCGAUUCUCUUCCAUCCUAGUCACAUGCUGGUGAUGACAUGGAGUUAUCUUGCAUUGAUUGUCCAUCUCACUACUUUAGAACCUGCCUUUGUAAAUAUAAGAUCCAAUAUCCCAAAACUGCAGAAGUGGAAGAAGGAUGGUUUCCUUGCUGCAAUAGUUCAUCAUAGUCGUCUUAUUUAUCUAUCAUAUUUAUGUAGCUGCCUGUCUCUCAAAAGGUGAUUCUGGGCAGUGUACUACGGAAAAAACUAUAAAUCAGUGUCAUAUAAAAACACCUAUUUGUAACUUAA